GUUACAUGUACUAGUAAAUAAUCGUUUCUAUUUUGGUUACUAACAAAAUGAACAGGCUCUGCUUUUCAUAAUUGGCUUCAUGAGUGUGGAUUUUGGAAAUAAUUCUAGGGGAACAGAGGGCCUGGAAGAGGAGCCCAAUCAAGUCACUCACUGCAAUAACUUAAGCAACAACAAUGCACCUUUUCAGAUUAAUGCCAAGAAAAGAUAUGCAGAAGAGACACCCAUGUCAUUGGACAAGAGGUUCUAAUAUUACGUAACAGGGUAGUGAUAUGUAGCUGUAGCACUGUGCGUUCUCUCAAUGCUGAGCUGCAGCUCCCAGUCAACCACUGGAUCAUGAGGGUAAAAUACUGAUACUUGACAUCUUCUUAAAGAACAUCAUGCCUGCUAAACCAUCCAGUGUGGAUGCCCCAGUGCCUUCCAUGAGCCAUUCUCAAGCCUCAUUAGAAAAGAGAGAUUGGCAACCCUGUAGCUGCAGUAUCCCAUCAUCCUGCAUCUUAGUUCAAUGCUUCAAACAUUCUUCAGGCCAAGUGUGCUUUCAGCUGUGUAUGUUAAUGGUCCCACUUCCAAUGCUGGGAGUCACAUUUCAACAUGAGAUUUGGACAGGACAGACGAUCCAAACCAUCUCGAAGUCCCAUGGUGAAUGGAGGAGCAUCUGAACUGAGACUUGCUAUGGAAUUCAAAUAAAGAGAUUGCCACAUUUU